AAUAAAUUUCAUUGUAUUCACUUUAAACGUCCAUCACUAGAAAGAUAUUUAAAUGACUGCUGUGGAACUAUAAGAUUUACCUACGACUAUAUAGACAUACAUAUCUUUCUAUAUAGGUAUUUGUUUAUAUUUCAUUUAUAUGUUUUCACUUUACAGACAAGGGAAGAACCGCUUGUUAUUGACAAUACCCGUUUUAAAUGCGUAUUACGGAACGUUUAAGAAGUAUCGUAUAUAGUUGGCUAAGCGUUUUCUCAUUCAUUGCACAAAUCAAGAACAGUUCUAUGUACAUUGAAGCUGGUGAAGCAUAUAAAUAGCACUCAUAAACGUUAGGUCAACCAUUGCACUUGCAACUCUUGCAAUAUGAAUUUCCAACUGCUCAUCGGCUUCGUGCUGGCGUUACUCGCUGUGGCUUUUGCUAAUCCAAAUCCUUUGCCAAAUCCUGAACCCUAUCCAGGAGGUGGUGGUGGCGGCGGCGGCGGCGGUGGAGGCGGAGGUGGAGGUGGAGGCGGUGGUGGCAAGUAAGCACCAGAACAACCAACAAACUGUUAAGGAUCUAAGCUAACUGUAAACCUGUAUACGCUAAAUAAAUGUGAAUUAAGUAAUGAAACGUGAGUUCACUACAAUGGGAAUCCAUAAUUUUUUUCAUUGAAGCGGUUUAGUGAUAGUGCAGAAUCAAAUUAUAUAUGUAUAUAAAUAUAUAAAUAUAUUAAAGAAUUCAUUGAAUGUGACAACAUUCAAAGGAUUAAGGAUUGGAUAACGUGUUUCAACCAUGCUACGGUAUUGAACCUUCAUCCUCAGUAGUGCUUGUUUUGUAGAUGGGGCCUUGGUCUAUUAAUCUUCCAGAAGGAUAAUAACUUAAAAACUGGACUUAAUAAAUAUAUCAUAUUUUUCGUUAAGAUAGUUUAUAACAGUUAUAUAAUAUUCUUUAAAUUUUUUAAAUAGGUGCACAUUAUGAUAACCUUUUGAUCACGUAUUGUGGGGUGGUUCAUUGACCACCUAACCACUUCUUUUUAUUCUGCUAUUCUACCUCUUCUGAGGAUAUAUCAAGACAACGGCUUAGACUUAUACAUCCGGAGAACCGUUAAUAUCAUAUAUGCGAAAUGGCGAUUUUAAAACGAAAUUACUUAAGAAACCCUUAGAUCCUGCUGGUAUCCAUCUGGGAAUGUUAUUAUGAAAAAUUACCCUCACCAACUUCUUCGGAGGCUAUUCAGUCAUCACACCUCGUACUCGAAUGAGAUGGAUGGUAUUAAUAAUAAUGAGAUAAGAACAAUUGCAUUAAUAAGAACAAAGCUCCUGGACCGGACAACAACAAUCCAGAACUCCUAAAAGCUAAUCCUCAGACGACCACGCGGUCUUCUUUGGAAGGAGGGAAAUUUAUCGGAUUGUGAAAAAUGGAAAGGAAUAACACUUCUAAGGGCUACGUAAAGUACAAAUGGUAUCCGACACCAUUGUUCAUGUGUCGAUCACAUCAACACCUUAAGAGUGAUUGUAGAGCAGUCGAUAGAGUUGCGCACUUUUCUAUACAUAUUUAUGCUUCAUCGAUUUUGUGAAAAUGGUCGGCACUAUCACAUAAAUCAGGAGCUUGCUAUCGCUUAAGGUGUAAACAUUUUUAAGCAACGGACUUUUAUUAAUUUGGUAUUGGGUUUGGUGAUGAAUCAAGCGUGGGCGGCGAAUAGAGGAAUAUUUUGGAGUUCAAAGGGUUGCAUAAACGGGACUUACAAUCAGUGUGGUGAAAACAAAAACCGUGUGCAUCAAUUCAACCGAAACGCCAAUCCUACAGAUCGACACAUAUAUCCAUAUGUACGAUGCUAAAAAUAUUAGAUUCAAUAUAUAUUGCAGCUAAUGUUUUUCAAACGCUGCAAACAAAGCAGAAGCACAGAAAAGCGGUUAUUCGUGGAGAGGAUUGGAAAUCAUAGCUUUAUAAUUAUACAAAUUAUGAUUUGUUUAUUGAGACCCUAUAAUCUAUAUAGGGACUGUAAAGAAAAUAUUCAUACGUACUAUACUAGACGACUAAUAGUGCUUUUGGCAUUUUAAAUAAUAAACCUAAAGAAAUGAAAGAAAUCAAUUCUGUAAAGUGAUUGCCCAAAGGUUUUCCAAAAAAAGUAAAAGUUAUUUAGAAUUCAAAACCACUAAAAAUAUUAUAUCUCACAUCCUGUAUGUACUACAGCUGGUUUUAGCUUAUUUGAACAAUCAGUUUGGUACAGAAAGUUUCAUAAAAGUUUAUUAUAAAAAUAAAAAGAGCUUUGAAACAGUAUUUUUGAAAUCGAAAGCUAUCUGAAAUGAGUAUCGAUUACAAAUUAUUGGACUUUACAAGCUCAAUUAAACAGAGAUCACAGCAUUCUACAUUGACCUUAAAAUUAAAAUUAAAAAAACAAAAAUUAAAAAAACGAACCAGAUGUAGGAAGAUUUUUGUACAUACAUACAUAUAUGGUCAGCUACCUCACAGGCGUGCAAGGUGCACUGUGCAAUGAAGACGCAUGCGCGAAUGCAGCCAAAGGUCGACCGCUUUUAACUGUGUAAUCUUGUCGAACACUUCGAACAGCUAGUAAUUUCCUACUCACUAAACAAUUGCAUUAAGUUUAAGUAGUCCAAUCAAAACAGCUAGAGCGUAUGGAUGCGUUUAUUGACAAGCACACUCUCUCAUAUAUACACACAUAUGUAUGUAUAUAGUGUAUUUAUUUAAGUAUUGAAACAUUGCGCAAUAAUGUUGUGCUGCAGUUUAAAUUCGACACUUCGCAAGAUAUGUUUGGCGCUAACAUGGAAUCGCUGGAGCUGCUACAGGCCAUUUUGGAGUACAGUGCCUGUGUAUCGCAGCUGCUGGACGUAGUUGAGGAGCGCCGCUUGGAAGACUACUUAAAAUUCAUUAAAUACUUCAUAGUGUAAUUAAUAGUGUAACUGAAC